UCAAAACCCCAGUUCAAAACCGAUUAUGAGUUCUUCUCACGGGUUUUCUCAACAACCAAAUAACCAUUGUUUUAUGUUAUUUUCAUGAUAUCUCCGUCUGGUUUAGAUUUGAUCGUUUUUUCAUAUACAUUUUUUUUUUCUUUUCAAGAUUUUCCUUUCUUUUUCUUGGUUUUCUCGGCAACCAAACAGCUGUUCUUGUGGGGUUUCGAUAAGGGGAUUCAGUAUAGAUUGUGGUGUUUUCGAUUUAAUUAUGUUAAAUUUUUGUAGGGUAAAAGAGAAUGUUAAACUCAGGAUUUUAAUGACAUCCAAACACGUUAAAAAACGUAGCUCUCACCUGACGUGUGAGACUAACGGCUUCAAAAGUGAGAGUAAAACCUGUUCAAUAACACAGUUGCCAGUUAGCUUCAAAAGUGGGAGUAUGGCGAUAUCAAUCCAUAAAACCCAUUCAAGAACGCAGUACUCAGCUCUCAUUGUCUUUCUCUCUAAAGCUCCUCUCUAAAAGCUUCCUCAUAGAUAAGUUCAAAACCCUAGUUCAAAACCGAUUAUGAGUUCUUCUCAUGGGUUUUCUCAACAACCAAAUAACCAUUGUUUAAUGUUAUUUUCGUGAUAUCUCCGUCUGGUUUAGAUUUGAUCGUUUUUUCAUAUACAUUUUUUUUUUCUUUUCAAGAGUUUCAUUUCCUUUCCUUUUCUUGGUUUUCUCGGCAACCAAACAGCUGUUCUUGUAGGGUUUCGAUAAGGGGAUUCAGUGAAGAUUGUGGUGUUUUCGUUCUUCGGACACUUAAAUUUCUCAAACUGAAUUAUUCUUUCAGAUUGUUGUGGAAUUUAGCUGAAUUUUCCUUCAUAACUCAAGGAAAACUAAGGGCUCGGAGAGGAGAGGAGUGAAGAUUCAGAGGGUUUCGAUAAGGGGAUUCGGUGAAGAUUGUGGUGUUUUCGAUCUUCAGACUGUUAAAUUUGUCAAACUCGACAAUUCUUUUAGGCUGUAACCUCUUUUAUUCAUUUGUUUAUUUAUGAAGAUCUCAAUUGUAGUUUCUCUGUUCUUAUGGAUUUUUGUUUAAAUCGGAUUAUUGUGGAAUUUGGCUGAAUUUUUGUUCAUAUACUUUUGAUUUCUA